GAAUUUUGCGCAAUGGACGAAAGUCUGACGCAGCAACGCCGCGUGAGGGAUGACGGCCUUCGGGUUGUAAACCUCUUUUGUCAGGGACGAUGAUGACGGUACCUGACGAAUAAGCCACGGCUAACUACGUGCCAGCAGCCGCGGUAAUACGUAGGUGGCAAGCGUUGUCCGGAUUUACUGGGCGUAAAGAGCGCGCAGGCGGUCGUUCAAGUCGCGUGUGAAAGCCCCCGGCUCAACUGGGGAGGGUCACGCGAUACUGAUCGACUCGAAGGCAGGAGAGGGUAGUGGAAUUCCCGGUGUAGUGGUGAAAUGCGUAGAUAUCGGGAGGAACACCAGUGGCGAAGGCGACUACCUGGCCUGUUCUUGACGCUGAGGCGCGAAAGCUAGGGGAGCAAACGG
rnacentral:rRNA from 1 species